GAGGGAGUAACUCAGUUGGUCAGAGUGCUGGUCUGUCACGCCGGAAGUCGCGGGUUCAAGUCCCGUCUCUCUCG
rnacentral:tRNA from 1 species